rnacentral:lncRNA from 1 species
GAACAUGCCCCGUUCCGGCCCGGGCGCGCCGUUGGCCGCCGGGACGUCCUAGCCCCGAGGGAGAGUGAGUGUGGUGGCCGCGGUACUUCGCGCUGAACCGAAGACGAAGACUGUCCGUCCUAUCCUAUCCGGGAAAGAACGAGGGGGUUCAAGGAGGCAGCAUGACUUGCAGUCGCCGCCGCCCUGCGUCUGCCCCCAGUCCCCAGCCCACCUCUUGAUGCGUCCCGGGUCGGCUGUACAAAUAUGAUGAAAUGGCAGCCCCGGAAGAAGCUGAAUGUGGAGCUGAGGGUUCAUUGACUGAAGGGGAAUUCUUCCCACUAUUAAUUUGAUGGAUUAAACACCAAGACAAAGUUUAUGAGUGUAGGACCCUCAUGCGGAUCCCAGCGCCCAUGUGUGAACUGAAGCUCCAGGGGACCUCACACCUCUGGCCUCCAGAGACGUCUGUACUGCAAUCAGAUCUACUCUGCUGUUUCUGUUCCGAAGAUGACUGUGGCACAUUUGUGAGAAGCAGCUCUAAGGCUGAGGAAGGAUGAUGACUCUCGCCAAGUCUGUUAGGGAGCAA